AGUCGANCGGUAACGCGGGGGCAACCCUGGCGACGAGUGGCGAACGGGUGAGUAAUACAUCGGAACAUAUCCAGUAGCGGGGGAUAACCUAUCGAAAGAUUGGCUAAUACCGCAUACGAUCUACGGAUGAAAGCAGGGGACCGCAAGGCCUUGCACUAUUGGAGUGGCCGAUGUCAGAUUAGCUAGUUGGUGGGGUAAAAGCCUACCAAGGCGACGAUCUGUAGCUGGUCUGAGAGGACGAUCAGCCACACUGGAACUGAGACACGGUCCAGACUCCUACGGGAGGCAGCAGUGGGGAAUUUUGGACAAUGGGCGCAAGCCUGAUCCAGCCAUGCCGCGUGAGUGAAGAAGGCCUUCGGGUUGUAAAGCUCUUUCGGUGAAGACGAAACGGCUAGCGCUAAUAACGCUGACUAAUGACGGUACUCACAGAAGAAGCACCGGCUAACUACGUGCCAGCAGCCGCGGUAAUACGUAGGGUGCAGGCGUUAAUCGGAAUUACUGGGCGUAAAGCGUGCGCAGGCGGUUUGCUAAGACAGGUGUGAAAUCCCCGGGCUUAACCUGGGAAUUGCGCUUGUAACUGGCAGGCUAGAGUGUGGCAGAGGGGGGUGGAAUUCCACGUGUAGCAGUGAAAUGCGUAGAUAUGUGGAGGAACACCGAUGGCGAAGGCAGCCCCCUGGGUCAACACUGACGCUCAGGCACGAAAGCGUGGGGAGCAAACAGGAUUAGAUACCCUGGUAGUCCACGCCCUAAACUAUGUCAACUAGUUGUCGGGGAAGAAAUUCCUUGGUAACGAAGCUAACGCGUGAAGUUGACCGCCUGGGGAGUACGGCCGCAAGGUUAAAACUCAAAGGAAUUGACGGGGACCCGCACAAGCGGUGGGUUAUGUGGAUUAAUUCGAUGCAACGCGAAAAANCNUUACCUACCCUUGACAUGCUAGGAAGUCCGCA
rnacentral:rRNA from 1 species